rnacentral:rRNA from 1 species
GACGAACGCUGGCGGCGUGCCUAACACAUGCAAGUCGAGCGAGAAUUUUUCAACAGAUUCCUUCGGGAUGAAGUUGAAGAAGGAGAGCGGCGGACGGGUGAGUAACGCGUGAGUAACCUGCCCAUAAGAGGGGGAUAACACAUGGAAACGUGUGCUAAUACCGCAUAAUGCAACGAAAUCGCAUGACUUUGUUGCCAAAGAUUUAUCGCUCUGAGAUGGCCUCGCGUCUGAUUAGCUAGUUGGCGGGGUAACGGCCCACCAAGGCGACGAUCAGUAGCCGGACUGAGAGGUUGGCCGGCCACAUUGGGACUGAGACACGGCCCAG